AACGAACGCUGGCGGCAUGCCUAACACAUGCAAGUCGAACGAGACCUUCGGGUCUAGUGGCGCACGGGGGCGUAGCGCGUGGGAACCUGCCCUUAGGUUCGGAAUAACUCCCCGAAAGGGGUGCUAAUACCGGAUAAUGUCUUCGGACCAAAGAUUUAGCGCCUUUGGAUGGGCCCGCGUUGGAUUGGCUAGUUGGUAGGGUAAAAGCCUACCAAGGCGACGAUCCAUAGCUGGUCUGAGAGGAUGAUCAGCCACACUGGGACUGAGACACGGCCCAGAAUCCUACGGGAGGCAGCAGUGGGGAAUAUUGGACAAUGGGCGAAAGCCUGAUCCAGCAAUGACGCGUGAGUGAUGAAGGCCUUAGGGUUGUAAAGCUCUUUUAACCGGGAUGAUAAUGACAGUACCGGGAGAAUAAGCUCCGGCUAACUCCGUG
rnacentral:rRNA from 1 species